GAUGUACAACAGUAUAUGGGCGCCCCCUAGCGUAUGGAUUAUUUCUGCCUGAAAUCUUGCUUUAAGGUGGAAGAGCCAUCUUAAAUGGAAACUACAUCGGUCGCUCGCCUCUCACAUACACCAAAGUAACAUGCGCCUAUUUUAAUCUGAUUAAUGCUUUUGAGAUUUUCUUCUAAUUGACUUGGACGUUGCAGAAGUGCGUUUGUAAGUCUCUGCCACAUUUAUUCUCUAGAGUGUUAUUCGCGCACGGGAGUAUUGCUGCGUUUCGGUUAAUUUUGGCAAAUUUAUUGAAACGGUAAAAAGUGAGCACCGUUCCUCAUCUCCGACCAUUCAAUGCAACGUAUGUGAACAAGGCAGCCGAAAGCAGCACUGCAGAAGUAAAUUACAUCUUACCGAUGCUUUUUGGAUUUUACCUUCAGAUCAAGACCUCUGCAGGCAUGUGAAGAGGGCAGAGGACACUGUGGGGACCAAAGAAUGCUCAGUGGUGACAUCAACACCAAAUGCAUGAUGGGAAGAGGAACCGUGCAUGAUGAUCGGACAAUGACAAAGCAGGGAAGGCGAAACGAUCCGUGGCUCAGUUGACAGCGGGCUGAUUGAAAUCAACUAUGGUUUGUAUGGUUGUAAAUUUUGCAUGUAUUCAUACGAUGUAGAACAGAAUCGUGGUUUAAAGGGACUAUUGGAAGACUCAUAUUUUUUCUAAAUAAUGAUGCAUUGUAAUAAAGGAUUUUCCUCAACCCUUGAUAUAAAUGUAACUACGUAUACUUAAAAUGUGGAAAAAAUAAAUUAAAAUAAUAAAAUAAAUAAUAAUAAAUAAAUGUGAGUAUAAAUUACUAUUAUUUUUUGUUAUUAUUAUCAAAUAGGAAUUCUUGUUAUAUGUAAACCAAUACUUGUUCCUAGUAGCUUUAUGAACAGGCAUUUGGGAUUAUCCCUUCCCAUUCUUUUCCAGUCUACAAUUUUCCAGAUCUUAAUAUGAAGUUAUAGUGUAAAAUCAAAAUUUUUUAAUUUUUACACUGGUCAUGGUUAAGCAGUAAAUCUUCAUUUAAUGUGGAGCUGUAACUGCCAUUUUUAUUGUGAAAAUUGCUAUGUGUCCAAUUCUUAACUCCUAUUAAAAAUAGAUUUUUAUUAUUUUCCACGUAUACUUACAGUAUAUUACUUACAUUUUCCAUAUAUACUUAUAAUUUUGCUUUUACCAUACCAGUCUGGAUUCAAUCAUUGACCACAAGACUAAACCCAAGUUAUUGGGAAAUAUAAAUGUUUUCAGAAGUAAGCAAAGAGCCAAAGGAAAAGACAUGGGAAAGAGAGAGAAGGUGGGAGAGAGAUAUUAAGAAUAUAUACUGACCGUAAUUGAAAGCAGCUUGUUUUCUAAUGAGGACUACUGGGAGACAUAAGCAAAGGUUUUUAGUUUGCUUUUGCACUUAAAACUUACACGCUUCAGAACAUAUUAUGAGCACUACUGUCUGUAUAUCAAAGGAGGAUGAAAACAUGUAAUUGGUGAAAAAUACCAUUACACUAUUAUUUUAACUGCUACAUUUUAAGACUACUGUCAGUCUAAAUUGAUCUACAUUAAAUCAAAUGUAUCAAUGUUAUUAAGCUUGUUUUUUUUUACUUUGAUGAUACACAUAUAUAUGCGUGUGUGCGUGUGUGUGUGUAUGUAUGUAUCAUCAAUUACAAGAAAAAAAUAUGUAGGAUAUCAAAGGAAAGCGGGGUGCAAAAAUGAACUGAACCACACACACGCACUGGCAGUGGAAGGAAGGGCAAAGAACACUCAGCACAAGAUUUAAUGAGUGCUGAGUUGUUGUGGUAUUUGCAAUGCGGCCAAAAAAGCUCAGCUAUGUUCAGGAAGCAUGUGAAGUGUCUGCAAUGAAAAAACGUUGUCAAACAAGAUUUGGGAUCAAUUACCCAGACAGAGAGUGUAAUGUUUACGCGAACCCCCUGAAAGAGGCAGUGUCCGGGGAAACUUCAGCUGCAGGCCCUGAAGUGCUCAUGUAACUGGCUCUUGAAGUCCUCUCUAAGGACAUUCGUUUUGUCACCUCCAGUAAGAGCUGUUUAGUCGCAGCCACAAAGUAUUACCCUGCUCCCUCUUGCCCUCAAGAAGCACACGUAAAGUACUUUGUCUCAGCUAUUGCCUAAUAAUAAAAUAAUACAUUACAGACCAAGUUAGGUUUUCCUUACAGAUGACCGAUUUUAAAAUGUAGUGUCUGUGUUUUUAUUACUUGCAGACGUUAUAAAUUCCACAUGUCCAAACGUGUUCUAUUGUCACUCCAGGGAAUCUUCGAGAGUGAGGGUAUCAUUGUCUUGAAAAUAAUGGACAUGUUGUAUUUCAUUACAUGUUAUAUUCAAUAAUGUACUGAAAGAAUCCUGUGCUUUUUUUUUUAGAUGCCCAUUUAGACAUUGUAAACACAUAAGUGCUUAAUCUGUCUUUAGCCUGCAAAGGGUGUUAAUGAUAUCAAUCACAUUCUUUAACCUUGGUUUAAAAGGUCUGGCUAUGUACAGCAGCUGCCAGCGUGCACCUUUUAAGGCAAUUAAGGAAUUUACAUUGAGGAAAAUAAAUAGUAGUGCCUGAAACAGGGUGCGGAGAAAUACAGAGACGUUAACACAGACUACAAAUAAACUUCAUA